AGGUGCGAUCAUACCAGCACUAAUGCACCGGAUCCCAUCAGAACUCGGCAGUUAAGCGUGCUUGGGCGAGAGUAGUACUAGGAUGGGUGACCUCCUGGGAAGUCCUCGUGUUGCACCUCU
rnacentral:rRNA from 1 species